rnacentral:rRNA from 1 species
CCUACGGGUGGCAGCAGUCGAGAAUCAUUCACAAUGGGGGAAACCCUGAUGGGGCGACGCCGCGUGGGGGAAUGAAGGUCUGCGGAUUGUAAACCCCUGUCAUGUGGGAGCAAAUUAAAAAGAGAGUACCACAAGAGGAAGAGACGGCUAACUCUGUGCCAGCAGCCGCGGUAAUACAGAGGUCGCAAGCGUUGUUCGGAACCACUGGGCGUAACGCGUGCGUAGGCUGUUUCGUAAGUCGGGAGUGAAAGGCGCGGGCUCAACCCGCGGACGGCACAUGAUACUGCGAGACUAGAGUAAUGUAGCGGUAACCGGAAUUCUCGGUGUAGCCGU